rnacentral:rRNA from 1 species
UAGGGAAUCUUCCACAAUGGACGCAAGUCUGAUGGAGCAAUGCCGCGUGAGUGAAGAAGGUUUUCGGAUCGUAAAGCUCUGUUGUUGGUGAAGAAGGAUAGAGGCAGUAACUGGUCUUUAUUUGACGGUAAUCAACCAGAAAGUCACGGCUAACUACGUGCCAGCAGCCGCGGUAAUACGUAGGUGGCAAGCGUUGUCCGGAUUUAUUGGGCGUAAAGCGAGCGCAGGCGGAAUGAUAAGUCUGAUGUGAAAGCCCACGGCUCAACCGUGGAACUGCAUCGGAAACUGUCAUUCUUGAGUGCAGAAGAGGAGAGUGGAAUUCCAUGUGUAGCGGUGGAAUGCGUAGAUAUAUGGAAGAACACCAGUGGCGAAGGCGGCUCUCUGGUCUGCAACUGACGCUGAGGCUCGAAAGCAUGGGUAGCGAACAGG